UACGUAGGGUGCGAGCGUUGUCCGGAAUUAUUGGGCGUAAAGGGCUCGUAGGCGGUUUGUCGCGUCGGGAGUGAAAACCUUGGGCUUAACUCAGGGCUGCUUUCGAUACGGGCAGACUAGAGGUAGCAGGGGAGAACGGAAUCCUGGUGUAGCGGUGAAAUGCGCAGAUAUCAGGAGGAACACCGGUGGCGAAGGCGGUUCUCUGGGCAUGAUCUGACGCUGAGGAGCGAAAGUGUGGGGAGCGAACAGG
rnacentral:rRNA from 1 species